rnacentral:rRNA from 1 species
CCUACGGGCGGCAGCAGUGGGGAAUAUUGGACAAUGGGGGGAACCCUGAUCCAGCGACGCCGCGUGAGUGAAGAAGUAUUUCGGUAUGUAAAGCUCUAUCAGCAGGGAAGAAAGAAAUGACGGUACCUGAACAAGCAGCCCCGGCUAACUACGCGCCAGCAGCCGCCGUAAUACGUAGGGGGCAAGCGUUAUGCGGAGUUACUGGGUGUAAAGGGAGCGUAGACGGCGGUGCAAGUCUGGAGUGAAAGGCAGGGGCCCAACCCCUGGACUGCUAUGGAGACUGUGGAGCUGGAGUGAAGGAGAGGGAAGUGGAAUACCUAGUGUAGCGGUGAAAUGCGUAGAUAUUAGGAGGAACACCAGUGGCGAAGGCGGCUUACUGGACUGUAACUGACGUUGAGGCUCGAAAGCGUGGGGAGCAAACAGGAUUAGACACCCCUGUAGUC